GGCGGCGUGCUUAAACAUGCAAGUCGAACGAAAAUACCAAGCUUGCUUGGUUGAUUAGUGGCGAACGGGUGAGUAACACGUGAGUAACCUGCCCCUUACUUUCCUGGAUAACUGCUCGAAAGGGUAGCUAAUACGGGAUAUUCUGGCCUUCCUGCAUGGGUUGGUUUGGAAAGGUUGUUUUUCUGGUGAGGGAUGGGCUCGCGGCCUAUCAGCUUGUUGGUGGGGUGAUGGCCUACCAAGGCUUUGACGGGUAGCCGGCCUGAGAGGGUGGACGGUCACACUGGGACUGAGAUACGGCCCAAACUCCUACGGGAGGCAGCAGUGGGGAAUAUUGCACAAUGGGCGCAAGCCUGAUGCAGCGACCCCCCGUGAGGGAUGAAGGCCUUCGGGUUGUAAACCUCUUUCGUCAGGGAACAAGGCAUUGCYUUUUUUGG
rnacentral:rRNA from 1 species